rnacentral:rRNA from 1 species
GGCGAAGGAUGCAAGCGUUAUCCGGAUUCAUUGGGUUUAAAGGGAGCGUAGGUGGCCUUAUAAGUCAGUGGUGAAAUCUCUGGGCUUAACCCAGAAAUUGCCAUUGAUACUGUAGGGCUUGAGUACAGUUGCUGUGGGCGGAAUAUGACAUGUAGUGGUGAAAUACAUAGAGAUGUCAUAGAACACCGAUUGCGAAGGCAGCUCACAAAACUGUAACUGACACUGAGGCUCGAAAGUGCGGGGAUCAAACAGG